ensembl:lncRNA
CUCUGGGUCACGUCUGUUGUUAACCCUUCCACCUUUAAAUGAACCUUCACACACGACUCCAUUAUAACGCUUCAGAAGAUUCCAAAGCACAAGUUAAUAAACACCACCUAGGAUGUCAAAGAAUUCUGUUUAAGCAGUGGAAGAAAAACAAGUGGCACAAUGCUAGAUUUUGAAGGAAACCAAAACCCAAAGAAAGAUGAAGCUGAGAGGGCAGCCUCAAGACUCAAGGGAAACAAGGUGAUUAUGAGCUCUCCCACAGAACCCUGGUGCUCAGUGGAUUCCCUCUAAUCAGACAACAAUACACAUCACCACUCCAAAAGAGCUGCUGUGAAUAAAGGGUCGAUGUGUUCUGUG